rnacentral:tRNA from 1 species
ACCUGGCUGGCUCAGUCAGUGGAGCACAUGACUCUUGGUCUUGGGGUCAUGAGUUCAAGCCCCAUGUUGGGCA